rnacentral:rRNA from 1 species
UUUCUGCCACCGAAUACAUUAGCAUGGGAUAAUGGAAUAGGACCCUGUCCUCCUAUUUUCAGUUGGUUUUGGCAGCGCGAGGACUAGGGUAAUGAUUAAUAGGGAUAGUUGGGGGCAUUAAUAUUUAAUUGUCAGAGGUGAAAUUCUUGGAUUUAUGAAAGAUUAACUUCUGCGAAAGCAUCUGCCAAGGAUGUUUUCAUUAAUCAAGAACGAAAGUUAGGGGAUCGAAGACGAUCAGAUACCGUCGUAGUCUUAACCAUAAACGAUGCCGACCAGCGAUUAGGAGACGUUGAAUACAAAACACCACCAUCGGUGCGGUCGUCCUUGGCGUCGGUCUUUCGGGGCCGGCGCGGGGACGGCUUAGCCCGGU